rnacentral:misc_RNA from 1 species
UGUGUAAAGCAUCUAAUUUUGUUUUACUCAAGAGACUACACUAGUUAAUGCACCCAUCACUGGAGAAGUGAGAGGAAGUAGGAGAUGCAAGUGAAGAGGAGGUCGAAGAAGAGCAGUAGUGGAAAUCAAUCUGCAGUCUCUGGAGGAGAGAGAAUGUAGAAACUUUUCCUUUUUUCUCUUCCUCCUCAAGUUCCUUUAGUGGUAUGGCAGCCAGGAAUCUUU